rnacentral:rRNA from 1 species
GAUGAACGCUGGCGGCGUGCCUAAUACAUGCAAGUCGAGCGAAUGGAUUAAGAGCUUGCUCUUAUGAAGUUAGCGGCGGACGGGUGAGUAACACGUGGGUAACCUGCCCAUAAGACUGGGAUAACUCCGGGAAACCGGGGCUAAUACCGGAUAACAUUUUGAACCGCAUGGUUCGAAAUUGAAAGGCGGCUUCGGCUGUCACUUAUGGAUGGACCCGCGUCGCAUUAGCUAGUUGGUGAGGUAACGGCUAACCAAGGUAACGAUGCGUAGCCGACCUGGGAGGGUGAUCGGCCACACUGGGACUGAGACACGGCCCAGACUCCUACGGGAGGCAGCAGUAGGGAAUCUUCCGCAAUGGACGAAAGUCUGACGGAGCAACGCCGCGUGAGUGAUGAAGGCUUUCGGGUCGUAAAACUCUGUUGUUAGGGAAGAACAAGUGCUAGUUGAAUAAGCUGGCACCUUGACGGUACCUAACCAGAAAGCCACGGCUAACUACGUGCCAGCAGCCGCCGUAA